CUAGUCCAUCAUAUGUAUACCCUAACCUUAAAUAUUAAAAAAGAGGUACAGUAACUUUUUAUACAUGAAAAGCUUCUGUAGCUCCCCCAUCUCCAACAACCACACCUUCUCCCGCCCCUCUUUCUUCUGCACAUCGAAUACCAUCAACAAAUUAAGCAAAACUACCAUCAAGUUCCCACUUCCCAGGUUAGGUUCUGAUUUGUAAAGUGUGGAGGGUUCCGAGUUCGAUUUGUAAACAUAGGCAAUGAUGCGGCUUCUAUUGAAAACUAGGGUUCCGAUUUGAAAAUGAUUUUUCUAUCGGUGGAAAUAUCAAUUGAUUCAUCCUUCACAUCUCCAUCCAUCUGCGUUCUGUUUUGGAUUUCGAAGGGCUGCGUUCUGUAAGCUUAUUUUAUUCAAACAGGUAUGAUUCUUUUUUUUUUUUUUUGUGUUAUUAUAUACAAAGAUGGUAGAGUUUGUCAUGUGAAUGUUGGGAAAACUAGGUGUAAGUAUUAGGGGUGAGCAAUAAACACUUACGGCCUGCGAGACCCACGAACCCGGCUCUUUAGAACCGAGGGUUAGAACCGUUUUGGCAAAAGGGUUGGUUCAUGGUUCUUAUAUUUCGUGAAUAUACGGUUCCGAUUCCGGUUCCGACCUAUCGAAAACCAUACAUAACCGUGAGAAUCGUUUGCAUUUAAAUUAAAAGAACUAGUCAGCUUUUAGGAGAUUUAAUUUCUUAUACAGACUAACUUUAUACCGUGUGCGCGUUGCGGCGUACUAAAAGAGUGUGACUAUCAAUAAUUACUGAAAGAUACUACCAUCUAGCAGCAGCAUGUACUCACCAGUCCAAAAAACCGGUCCCAAAAAACUGCAGAAUGCUGCUGUUGUUGCUGUGUUCGCCGGUCCAAAACGUAGUCCAAAAAACCUGCAGCAACAUUGCUGCUGCUGGUUGCUUUUUACGCUAAAAAACUGCGUUUUUUUGAGGUUUUUCGCAGAAAAAAACCUGCGUUUUUUUAGGUUUUUUCGGCUAAAAAUCUGCAGUUUUUUGGCUGAACCGUUUUUUGACGAUCAACAGUCUUUGGAUAAUGGUGGUCAUAAGAUGCUUUCCUUUGUAUGUUAAAGGUUUGAAAUCAAAGCUCAUAGUCUGAAUUUUAUUUAUUACUACAUUUUUACUUUUCUAAGAAGUCAAACUUUUUUUUUAUUAAUCUGAUUAAACCCAUCCUUGAAUAUAAAAAAGAAACAGUGGUUAGGCAUUGAGAAAGUCAAACUUUUGCAUUUAUCUUGUGCUUUCUUAUUACUCAAAAUCAACUUUUAAAGUUAACUGUAUAAAUAUCAAACUACUUAAAAUAUUAUCAUUUUGUUAUAACUCAGUUAGCUUAGUGUACUAAUCUUUUUGAGAAGGAAUAUAUAAAGACCCCUUAGAAAUGCCAGAUUUCUAAAAAAUACUUCUUAGUGUACUAAUCUUUUUGGCCAAACUGGGUUUUCUUUCGUUCUUGUUCAUCUCUUAACCUUUUUUUUGACGUUUUUCACUGAAAAACCGGCACUUUUUGGCGUUUAUAACAUUUUUUGACUUAUAACAUGUAUGAUGACAGGUUGAGUUAAUUGCACGUUUGAUCAAAUGGUUUGUACAUUCUUUCACAAGUUGUUGAGAUACCUAUCUUCGGAAGAUGAUAGCAAUGAUGACCUUGAUGAGGAUGUCAAAGAACAAUGUACUCGCAAACUUCGUAAAUUUAUUCGACGCAAUCAUAUUCAGGGACAUGAGCGUUUAUAUCGUGAUUAUUUUGCAGAAAAUCCAGUAUAUCCCUCGAAUCUAUUUCGACUGAGAUUUCGGAUGAGUCGUCCUUUAUUUCUCCGUAUUCUAGAUAGAUCUUCUGUUUUCACGGAACUUACACAAGGGCGUGCUCCACCAGUCAAUUACACAGUCAACGGCCACGACUAUAUUAUGGGGUAUUACCUUGCAGAUGGUAUUUAUCCUAAAAACGAUUUCAUCACCAAGAGGGAACAAGAAUAAACAUUUUGCAAAAACACAAGAAUCUGCAAGAAAAGAUGUCGAGCGAGCAUUUGGUGUACUUCAACAACGAUUUGCAACCAUUCGAGGUUCUCUGAUCUGAUCUAACUGGAACAGACUAUAGUGAAAGAGCAUCCUGAAUAUCCUGAUGGUCCUGUUAAAGG